rnacentral:rRNA from 1 species
UUCUUGAUAAAUAAAUAUAUAAGUAAUGAAUAGUAGAUUUGAAAUAAUUAAUUAUAUAGAUUUAAAGAAAUAAUCAUGGAUUACAAAAGCUAUUAAUAGAUAUAGGUUACUAAUAAAAAAUAAUAUUUUUUUUUAAUACCUAAGGUAAACCUUUAUAUAUUAAUAAAUAUACUAAGUGAACUGAAACAUCUAAGUAACUUAAGGAAAAUAAAUCAACAGAGAUAUCAUGAGUAUUGGUGAGAGAAAAUGAUUUAGUCAUAAUAAGUAUUAUGUAAUAUUAUAAUAUGUAAGAAUAUAGGACAAACUAGUUCUAAGACUAAAUACUAUUAAUAAGCAAAAUAAGUACUGUAAAGGAAAGUAAUGAAAUGGUUAUUUUAUAAGUAAUCAUAGAUACAAUAUAAUAUGUAUUAAUGAUGUACCUUUUGUAUAAUGGGUCAGCAAGUAAUUAAUAUUAGCAAAAUAUAAUAUAUUAUAAAUAAUUUGAUAUAGUUAAUAUUAAUUGACCCGAAAGCAAAUGAUCUUACUAUGGUUAGACGGAUACGGUCGAACAGGUUGAUGUUGCAAAAUCAUCUGAUAAACUGUGGUAAGUGGUGAAAGACAAAUCUGAUUUGCAGAUAGCUGGUUUUCUACGAAAUAUAUGUAAGUAUAGCCUCUAUAAUAACUAAUAAUUAUUUAAUUAAUUAAAUAAUGAAUGGUAUAGCAAUUAAUAUCUUUUGGGGAACUAUCGAAGUUUUAUCAAAAAUAUUUAAUCUCAAAAUAUUUUUAUUAGUUUAUUAUAGAGAGUCAGAUUAUGUGCGAUAAGGUAAAUAAUCUAAAGGGAAACAGCCCAGAUUAAGAUAUAAGGUUCCUAAUUGUAUGAUAAGUGAAAAUAAUAUUAUAAUAUUGUAAUACUAUCAGUUAAUGGGUUUGACAAUAACCACAUAUUUAAUGAACAUGUAACAAUGCACUGAUUUAUUAAUAAUUAUUUAACAAUAUUAAAUAAUAAAAUAUAUAUAUAUAUAUUUUAUAUAAUAGAUAAUAUACGGAUCUUAUUAUUAAUAAUCAUACAACCGAAUAUCUAAAUAUUAUUAUUAAUUAUAAUAAUAAUAAUAAUAAUAUGGUAGUAGAACAUUUAAUGAAAAAAUAUACUAGUUAUUAAUUAGUAUAUAUAUAUAUUAUAUUAUAAUAUAAUAAAUUAUAGUAAUUAAAUAGAGAAUGCUGACAUGAGUAACGAUAAAAAAGUAAAAACUUUUUCACCUAAAGCAUAAGGUUUUACUAUAAAAGUACGGCCCUUAAGUAAAUUAAGAAUAAAAAUAUAAUUUAUGAUAGGAUAAUUCUAAACUAAAUAAUAUAUUAUAUUAAUAUAUAUAUAUAUAUAUAUAUAUGUAUAUAAACUUAAUAUAAUCAGGAAAUAUAUUUAGUUAUGUACCGUAAUGUAGACCGACUCAGGUAUGCUAGUAGAGAAUAUGAAGGUGUAUUAGAUAAUUAAAGGGAAGGAACUCGGCAAAAAUAGCUCUAACGUUAGUCAAUAAAGAGUAAUAAGAACAAGGUUGUACAACUGUUUACUAAAAACACCGCACUUUGCGAAAACGAUAAGUUAAUGUAUAAGGUGUGAACUCUGCUCCAUGCUUAAUAUAUAAAUAAUAUUAUUAUUAUGAUAAUAUUAUUAAAUUUAAGUAAAUAGCAGCCUUAUUAUGAGGGUUCUAAGGUAGCGAAAUUCAUUGUCCAAUAAAUAUGGUCCUGCAUGAAUGACGUAAUGAUACAACAACUGUCUCCCCUUUAAGCUAAGUGAAAUUAAAUGGGUAGUGAAGAUUCUAUCCACCUAUAGUGUGACGGAAAGACCCUAUGCAGCUUUACUGUAAUUAGAUAGAUCGAAUAAUUGUUUAUUUAAUUCAGUAUAUUAAGUAAUUUAUUAUAAUAAAAAUGAGAUACUUAUUUAAAUAAUAUAAUUAUUCUAAUCUUAUUAUUUAUAUUAAUUGAUACUAUUUAUUCUUAAUAUAAUUAUUUAUUAUUGUAUUAUUAAUACAAUAAUAAUUAAAGUAAAUAAGAGACAAUCUCUAAUUGGUAGUUUUGAUGGGGCGUCAUUUUCAGCAAAUUUAUCUGAAUAAGUCCAUUUACAUUUUAUAUUAUUAUUAAUAUAUUUUAAUAAUAUAAAUUAUUUAUAUUAAUUGUCAAUAAUAAUAUAUUAUUAUUUAAUAAUAUAUUUUUAUAAUAGAUAAAAUAAUGUACAGUAAAAUUGUCUGGAAAACAAUAAUAAUAAUAAUUAUUAUUUUAAUUAUUAUAGAAUAAUCUAUUAAUUUAAUAUAAUGGUUUAACUGUGCGAUAAUUGUUAUACAAACAAGUAAAACAAGUACGUAAGUAUGGCAUAAUGAACAAAUAACACUGAUUGUAAUGGUUAUUGAUAACGAAUAAAAGUUACGCUAGGGAUAACAGGGUAAUAUAGCGAAAGAGUAGAUAUUGUAAGCUAUGUUUGCCACCUCGAUGUCGACUCUACCUAUCCUCUUGGUUGUAACUGCUAAGAAGGGUUUGACUGUUCGUCAAUUAAAAGGUAACGUGAGUUGGGUUAAAUACGAUGUAAAUCAGUAUGGUUCCUAUCUACUAUAGGUAAUAUUAUCAACUUAAGUCUUGUUCUUAGUACGCAAGGAUCAGAAUGAACUAAUCUAUGGUGCAUCUAUUGAUUAUAUUUAUUUAUUUAAUAAAUCGAUAUUAGUUUAUAUUAUAUAAUAUAAUCAUAGUAGAUAAGCUAAAUUAGUAAAUAAUAAGUAUUGAAAGCAUAUAAAAUACAAAGUAGUCUUAAGAUGAGAUAAUUAUCUGAUAAUUAUAUACUAUAAUUUAUAAAUAGCUUAUAAUAUAAGUUUAUAGGUUCUAUAUAUAUAUAUUAUUAUAUAGUAGAAUACUAAUUUAUCAGUU